rnacentral:rRNA from 1 species
CCUAGUAACUGCGAGUGAAGCGGGAAGAGCUCAAAUUUUGAAUCUGGCGGUCUUUCGGCCGUCCGAGUUGUAAUCUAGAGAAGUGUUUUCCGCGCUGGACCGUGUACAAGUCUCCUGGAAGGGAGCGUCAUAGAGGGUGAGAAUCCCGUCUCUGACACGGACCCCCAGUGCUAUGUGAUGCGCUCUCGACGAGUCGGGUUGUUUGGGAAUGCAGCUCAAAUCGGGUGGUAAACUCCAUCUAAAGCUAAAUAUAGGCGAGAGACCGAUAGCGAACAAGUACCGUGAGGGAAAGAUGAAAAGAACUUUGGAAAGAGAGUUAAACAGUACGUGAAAUUGCUGAAAGGGAAACGCUUGAUGUCAGUCGCGUCGGCCAGGAAUCAACCUUGCAUUUUGCUGGGCGUAUUUUCUGGUCGACGGGUCAGCAUCAGUUUCGAUCGUCGUACAAGGGUGAAGGGAAUGUGGCACUCUUCGGGGUGUGUUAUAGCCUUUCGUCGUAUGCGAUGGUCGGGACUGAGGAACUCGGCACGGCUCUGCUUGUGCUCA